rnacentral:misc_RNA from 1 species
AACGCACGAGACCUGCGGACCUGCGGAGGGAUCAUUACACAAUACAAUAUGAAGGCUGUCCGCAGCUGGAGUAUUUUAUUACCCUUGUCUUUUGCGCACUUGUUGUUUCCUGGGCGGGUUCGCUCGCCACCAGGACCACCAAAUAAACCUUUUUUAUGCAGUUGCAAUCAGCGUCAGUACAAACAAUGUAAAUCAUUUACAACUUUUAACAAUGGAUCUCU